CAACGUAAGCAACCUGCCCCAAAGACCGGGAUAACAUUCCGAAAGGGAUGCUAAUACCGGAUGUGGCCAUACGGAUGCAUGUCUCGUAUGAUUAAACCGAGCAAUCGGCUUUGGGAGGGGCUUGCGGCCUAUCAGCUAGAUGGUGGGGUAACGGCCUACCAUGGCGACGACGGGUAGCUGGUCUGAGAGGACGGCCAGCCGGACUGGGACUGAGAUACGGCCCAG
rnacentral:rRNA from 1 species